rnacentral:rRNA from 1 species
UACGGAGGGAGCUAGCGUUAUUCGGAAUUACUGGGCGUAAAGCGCACGUAGGCGGCUUUGUAAGUAAGAGGUGAAAGCCCAGAGCUCAACUCUGGAAUUGCCUUUUAGACUGCAUCGCUUGAAUCAUGGAGAGGUCAGUGGAAUUCCGAGUGUAGAGGUGAAAUUCGUAGAUAUUCGGAAGAACACCAGUGGCGAAGGCGGCUGACUGGACAUGUAUUGACGCUGAGGUGCGAAAGCGUGGGGAUCAAACAGG